GAUGAACGCUGGCGGCGUGCCUAACACAUGCAAGUCGAACGGAGUCGUUUUGGAAAUCUCUUCGGAGAUGGAAUUCUCGACUUAGUGGCGGACGGGUGAGUAACGCGUGAGCAAUCUGCCUUUAAGAGGGGGAUAACAGUCGGAAACGGCUGCUAAUACCGCAUAAAGCAUUAAAUUCGCAUGUUUUUGAUGCCAAAGGAGCAAUCCGCUUUUAGAUGAGCUCGCGUCUGAUUAGCUAGUUGGCGGGGUAACGGCCCACCAAGGCGACGAUCAGUAGCCGGACUGAGAGGUUGAACGGCCACAUUGGGACUGAGACACGGCCCAGACGCCUACGGGAGGCGGCAGUGGGGAAUAUUGCGCAAUGGGGGAAACCCUGACGCAGCAACGCCGCGUGAUUGAAGAAGGCCUUCGGGUUGUAAAGAUCUUUAAUCAGGGACGAAACAAAUGACGGUACCUGAAGAAUAAGCUCCGGCUAACUACGUG
rnacentral:rRNA from 1 species